UGUGACGUCAGUUCCACCGUCCGCCUCGAGAUUGUUUACAGUCAGAUUUGGCGGGAGAACAUCAGACGCUCCGCUUUCUGUUUGAAACGCGUUUUUUGCGAGCAGCGUGCGUCAAUGGCUGCAACUGCGUCUGCAGCUCCCGCGGAGUCGGAGGUGGACCGCAGCGGAGCUGAGGAUGAUCCCCGAGGCACCGAGCCGGAGGAGGACGGAGGGAACGGGCAGGCUGUGCCCAUCGCGGCCGCGCAGCAGCACCGUCUCGCCAAGCUGCCGCUGUCGCGAAUCAAAGCUCUGAUGAAAGCCGAUCCGGAUGUGAGUCUGGCCAGUCAAGAGUCUGUGUUCAUCAUAGCUAAAGCCACGGAGCUUUUUGUUGAAAUGAUCGCCAAGGAUGCUCUUGUUUACGCACAGCAGGGAAAGAGAAAAACCCUUCAACGCAAAGACUUGGACAAUGCUAUUGAAGCAAUAGAUGAGUUUGCGUUUUUGGAAGCCUCAUUUUCCAAGAACUGUAAGCCUUAAAGCAAACAAUAUUCUGCCAUGGAGUCAGAUUAUAUGUGACCAUGAAGACCUUUGAUUCUAGGAAUUCAGAAAUGAAGGCAGUUGGUAAUAACAUGACUGUUUCAAUAAAGAAAUUCUGCUUUGUUGGCAAGAGUUUGGUUCACCUUGUGAAAGGCCUGGAGUAACCUGCACUGGAUCUACUGAAGGUACCCUGGACUGACUGAAAAGGUGCACGAAUAUGAAUGUAAAGACUGUCAACAAGUUCUGAAGUUUCAUUUCAGAUUUAAGAACUCAAAAGGGAGGAAAGAUCGCUGGAACAGGUUUUUUCUUCAUUGAGAUGCUUGUAAUGCUUGAGCCGUUUGAUAAAAUUGUACAGUUGCCAAGGUUGUAAAUUGCCAAUUGUAUUUUCCACUAAAAUUCUUAUAACAAUGUUGAACGUUUGAAUAAAGUGAAUUUCUUUAUCUUUUUCUAAA